AUUGAACGCUGGCGGCAUGCCUUACACAUGCAAGUCGAACGGUAACAGGUCUUCGGAUGCUGACGAGUGGCGAACGGGUGAGUAAUACAUCGGAACGUGCCCGAGAGUGGGGGAUAACGAGGCAAAAGCUUUGCUAAUACCGCAUACGAUCUCAGGAUGAAAGCAGGGGACCGCAAGGCCUUGCGCUCACGGAGCGGCCGAUGGCAGAUUAGGUAGUUGGUGGGAUAAAAGCUUACCAAGCCGACGAUCUGUAGCUGGUCUGAGAGGACGACCAGCCACACUGAGACUGAGACACGGCCCAGACUCCUACGGGAGGCAGCAGUGGGGAAUUUUGGACAAUGGGCGCAAGCCUGAUCCAGCCAUGCCGCGUGCAGGAUGAAGGCCUUCGGGUUGUAAACUGCUUUUGUACGGAACGAAAAGACUCCUUCUAAUAAAGGGGGUCCAUGACGGUACCGUAAGAAUAAGCACCGGCUAACUACGUGCCAGCCGCCGCGGUAACAC
rnacentral:rRNA from 1 species